rnacentral:SRP_RNA from 14 species
AGUGUACGAGCACGUCAGCGCCGUGUGGAAGCUGCAGGAAUCGGUGCCUCGUGUGCGUGUCGGAUAUUGCCACGAAGCGAAUAGCGCGUGC